UGGAAUUUAGUUCUUCCUGACUCAAGUCCAAGAGCUUGAUCUACUGCAUCAUCUACAAGCACAAAUUGUUCACAGACUGGGUACUAAGAACUUCUGGUCUAAUGGAGAGAACAUCAUCUCCCUCCCUGUGAUUGCCUGCCAUUUAAAAGGGCUGAAAAAUCAGGAAUGGCUUCAAGGAGAGGGUGAUGCUUAGCAAUUCUAAGAGACAGAGCUUUGUCUUAUAGAAAGGAGCAGAGACACAUAUCAACUGGCUACCAAGAGAUACAGAGAGUCAAUCAGAAAGUACAAAGGACGACCCAGAAAUAGAACCACUCUUCAGAGAAAGAAGUAAGUCACAAAGGAUGCGAAGAGUAUGGUAGCCAUCGACCACUCCUGUGGCAUUCCCAAUCACUCCAAGUAGCUCAUUACAGCCCCUUUAAAACUGGAG
rnacentral:lncRNA from 1 species